AUUGAACGCUGGCGGCAUGCUUUACACAUGCAAGUCGAACGGUAACAGGUCUUCGGCUGCUGCCGAGUGGCGAACGGGUGAGUAAUACAUCGGAACGUGCCUAGUAGUGGGGGAUAACUACUCGAAAGAGUAGCUAAUACCGCAUGAGAUCUACGGAUGAAAGCAGGGGACCUUCGGGCCUUGUGCUACUAGAGCGGCUGAUGGCAGAUUAGGUAGUUGGUGGGGUAAAGGCUUACCAAGCCUGCGAUCUGUAGCUGGUCUGAGAGGACGACCAGCCACACUGGGACUGAGACACGGCCCAGACUCCUACGGGAGGCAGCAGUGGGGAAUUUUGGACAAUGGGCGAAAGCCUGAUCCAGCAAUGCCGCGUGCAGGAUGAAGGCCCUCGGGUUGUAAACUGCUUUUGUACGGAACGAAAAGCCUGGGGCUAAUAUCCCCGGGUCAUGACGGUACCGUAAGAAUAAGCACCGGCUAACUACGUG
rnacentral:rRNA from 1 species